AGAAUAUUAGAAUCCGUCUCUUAAUUUUUAACUAAAAAAGUUAAGAAUCGGUUCUAAAAUAAGAGUUUUAAGAGCCGGUUCUUAACUUUUUUAAUUAAAAGUUAAGAGACGGGUUCUUAUAUUCC
rfam:Brassica napus, WGS project CCCW01000000 data, contig: 38915